rnacentral:rRNA from 1 species
GUUUUCCUACGGGAGGCAGCAGUGAGGAAUAUUGGUCAAUGGGCGGGAGCCUGAACCAGCCAAGUCGCGUGAAGGAAGAAGGUACUUAGUAUUGUAAACUUCUUUUGUCGGGGAACAAAGGCGGAGACGCGUCUCCGGAUGAGUGUACCCGAAGAAAAAGCAUCGGCUAACUCCGUGCCAGCAGCCGCGGUAAUACGGAGGAUGCGAGCGUUAUCCGGAUUUAUUGGGUUUAAAGGGUGCGUAGGCGGGCUGUUAAGUCAGCGGUCAAAUGUCGGGGCUCCACCCCGGCCUGCCGUUGAAACUGG